CCUACGGGAGGCAGCAGUGGGGAAUAUUGCACAAUGGGGAAAACCCUGAUGCAGCAACGCCGCGUGAGCGAUGAAGGCCUUCGGGUCGGAAUGCUCUGUCCUAAGGGAAGAAUACUGACGGUACCUGAGGAGGAAGCCCCGGCUAACUACGUGCCAGCAGCCGCGGUAAUACGUAGGGGGCUAGAGUUAUCCGGAAUUACUGGGCGUAAAGGGUGCGUAGGCGGCCCUUCAAGUCAUAGGUGAAAGGCUACGACUCAACCGUAGUAAGCCUUUGAAACUGUAGGGCUUGAGUGCAGGAGAGGAGAGUGGAAUUCCCAGUGUAGCGGUGAAAUGCGUAGAAAUUGGGAUGGACACCAGUUGCGAAGGCGGCUCUCUGGACCGUAUCUGACGCUGAGGCACGAAAGCGUGGGGUGCGAACAGGAUUAGAUACCCUUGUAGUC
rnacentral:rRNA from 1 species